rnacentral:lncRNA from 1 species
GCAAAAAAUAACAAAAUAAACUACAAAAAUACGAAAAUCAUCUAUUUAAAAAAAAAAAAUACAAGAUCGUAGUUGAUUUAUACAAAUUAAAGGAUGAGUUGAUAGUGGCAGAGAAAAAAAAGAAAGAAAAAAAAAAAAAACACAUCACCACCAUGUCCCCGAACCAAGCUACCUGUGGCAAAAGCAAAAAAGGAAUCAAUAAAACAAAAUCCAAAAACGAAUUAAAAAUUAUAAUUGAUUAAUACCGUAAUCGACUUCUAAUACAUAGUUGAUUAUGGAUCCAAUUUAAAUCUGCUCAAAGUCUCGUCACCAAUCUCUGUACGCUCGACCCAAAAAAUUCUAGAUCUACUCCCUUCGUCGGGCACAUCGUCACCACACCGUCUCAUUUCCCCAUGGAGACUGAUCUCCUUCUUGGACAACAAUAAUAGAUCAAAUCUCAUGGCGAGAAGAGGAUGUUGUUGCUACGGGCAGGCGCAUAGCCGGUGGUCAUGGGCUUGCUUGAGCGUCGCCAUAAGGGUGUAGGAGAUCGAUGGCUUCGCAACUUUGUUCUGGAUCCCAGGCGCCGUCGCCAUGGGUAGCUUAUGAGAAGAUAGAGAGGUUGCUUGUAACGGUUGUGUUUAAUUGUACUAGCUUGCUUGUAAUUAUGAAUUAUUGGAGGAUUAAACUUCCUAAAUUGUUAAGGAAUGCAGAUUUAAGCAAUUGAAAAUUGUCAACAAAUCUUAAUCCUUACAACAUUCAAGUUUUCAAGUAGGGGUGGCAAUUUGGAUCCGGUUCUAUGGAUCCGAUCAGAUCCGGUUCGGUCCACAUGGAUCCAAUUUAGAUUAAAUCUAGUUGGAAUAAACCUGAUCGAACCAAGUUGAAUUUUUUAAAAAAC